GGUGUUUAAAAUUGUGUUUUAUUAAAUUAUAAUUUUUUUAUACUUUUCAAUUAUAUUGAUAUUAAAAAUAAUAAAAAUAUUAUUUUAAUAUAUUUUUAAAUAAAAAAUAUUGUAAAAAAUAAUCAUUACAACAUUAAAAAAACAUGUUAAAUUUUGUCGAUGACUAGGAAAAUGUUGUGGUGUUCAAAUGAUUGACUAUUCUAAAUUAAUCUAACUUUAGUAAAGCAUCCUCUCCUUUCCUUUCUGGUCAGCGUCAACAAAGAACAAGUGCAGUGAAAAUUUGCUUUGCGGUUGACUUGAGUGAUGCAUUCAUGGUUGAUGGUAAGAAGAGGUCUUAACCAGAGAGAUCUAUGUGCAAUGCAUAGCAUGCUAUCAACCGUUUUCUUUUCUUAUGCAUUCUUAUUAUGCUCCUCCCUUUUAUGUUGCUUUGCUGGAGAUACCAUCACAUAUGCUGGUAGUUCGAUUAGUAAUGAUGGUGAAGAAACUCUUGUUUCAGCAGGAAAAAGGUUUGAACUGGGGUUCUUUACUCCUGAACAACACGAAAGGUACGUAGGAAUUUGGUAUUACAGGUCGAAUCCACGAAUAGUUGUGUGGGUUGCCAAUCGAGACCGCCCACUUCUUGAUGAUGGAGCAGUUUUGGCUGUCGCAGAUGAUGGAAACCUCAAGAUUUUGGAUAAAAAUGGAGAUCCUUUUUGGUCUACAGAUCUUAAAUCAACAUCAAAACCAGGGUAUCGGUUGGCUAAGCUCUUAGAUUCUGGGAACUUGGUUUUUGGUCUGUUUUUAGUUACGGCGUAGUUGUACUUGAGAUUCUUAGUGGGAAAAGGAACACAGGAUAUUUUAAUUCUGAUGAAGCCCAAAGCCUUCUAGCUUAUGCUUGGAGAUUAUGGAGAGAAGACAAGGCAUUGGAUUUAAUGGACGAGACAUUACGUGAGAUUUGCAACACCAAUGAGUUUCUGAGGUGUGUAAAUGCUGCACUCUUAUGCGUACAAGAUGAUCCAUCCGACCGUCCGACCAUGUCAAAUGUUGUUGUGAUGCUUAGCAGUGAAACUGCAAACUUGCCGGUUCCUAAGAACCCAGCCUUUUUUAUACGAAGAGGCCUUUCUGGCACAGCUUUUGCUUCAAGUAAACAAGAAAGAGGCCUUUCUGUCACAGCUUUUGCUUCAAGUGAACAAGAGAGAGGCCUUUCUGGCACAGCUUCAUCUUCAAGUAAACAAGAAACAAGCAUCGAUAUAGCGAUUGCUUCAGACGAAGGCAGAUAAUUUCCUGUCAAUUUGCAUAAAAUCUUGGAAAGUUUCUCAAUCUUCAAAUGUAAAGGUUUCUUUUUUUUCUUUCCUGGUAAAAUCUCAUGUUUUUCCAUGACAGAAUUCGUGUCUAAUUAGUCCUUCUGUUCUGAAAUUGUAAUCAAAACCCAUCUCAGAACUUCAUUAUUAUAUCUGUGUAAUUACCCGUAAACUUUCUUUCAA